GGGAAGUCUGAAAAAGCCCAAAAAAACCGUAAAGAAAGAAAAUAAAAACCCAUUCCUCAAUUUUGCGUUCUUUGUAAUCUCUUCUUUUCCCUCCCGAGAAUUACAGAUCUUCUUCGUCUCCUUCUUCUUCGUCUUCUUCUUCUUCUGCUUCGUCGUCGUACUGUGGAGAGAAAUGCCGUCCAAGCUCGUCUCUCCAGGUCUUCCUCUCUGUCUUUCCGGCUUCUCUCUCUCUCAUCGUCCUCUCUCUACAGAGAUGGAAGAUCAUGAUCGAAGGAGGGAAGCCAUGAGAAGGCGAAGAUCAUCGAGUGCCGAUACAGGAGGGAUCGGCUUCACCAGAUACAUCAUCCAAGCUAUUGGAGAUGGAGAUCUUCAUGAUUUGUGUGAAAAAACCAAAUUAACUUCGGCUGCAAAAGCCGCUUAGAUUACGAAAACACUGUCCAUGAUUCCACAAUCUCAACUUUUUUGUGUUGGUUUCGGAUCUGUAUUUUCAUAUUUUGUCAAAAUCCUGAUUUGGAGAUUCAUGUAUUGUUCUCCUUUGUUUCCAACUUUACUGGAUGGUUCAAUGUAAUCCUCUUCUAAUUUUACUUUCC